UAGCCUAGUGGUUAAGGCUAUGGAUCGCCAAUCCGGAGACGGUGGGUUCGAUUCCCGU
rfam:Aedes albopictus isolate Foshan contig39423, whole genome shotgun sequence.